rnacentral:rRNA from 1 species
UGCCAGACUCCUACGGGAGGCAGCAGUGGGGAAUCUUCCGCAAUGGGCGAAAGCCUGACGGAGCAACGCCGCGUGAUCGAAUGAAGGCCUUCGGGUUGUAAAGAUCUGUUGACAGGGACGAAUAAGCAAUGCGAAUAGUUUUGUGUAUGACGGUACCUGUUUAGAAAGCUCCGGCUAACUACGUGCCAGCAGCCGCGGUAAUACGUAGGGAGCAAGCGUUGUCCGGAAUUACUGGGCGUAAAGGGCGCGUAGGUGGGCGCUUAAGUCAGGUGUGAAAACUCCGGGCUCAACCUGGAGACUGCACUUGAAACUGCAGCUCUUGAGUGAAGUAGAGGCAGGCGGAAUUCCUAGUGUAGCGGUGAAAUGCGUAGAUAUUAGGAGGAACACCAGUGGCGAAGGCGGCCUGCUGGGCUUUUACUGACGCUGAGGCUCGAAAGUGUGGGGAGCAAACAGGAUUAGAUACCCGGGUA